GUAUGAAAAGGAAGUCUUGAAAAACAUUUGAUCAACAGGCUCAUGAUCUCAAGCUUUGUUUAACCGGAGAAAAGGAACAUGAACAAUAUUUGGAUAGAUAAUAAUAACGUUUAACUGAGUCAGUUUGAACUGAAAGGACAUCUAUGCAAUAACUAGUGGAGUUUUUUCUCAAGGGCACUAUCCUAAGGACCCUGUCCAGUGUGAGGACAAUGCAGAGGCCAAUUCAUAUGUAGUAGUGUAUGACACUGACAGCUACCAUUAUUCACGAGAUGCACAGGUUCCACUGCAGUGUGAGGAUGACCAAUUUGGUCUCAAUGCGGUUGUGGUUAUAGGAGAAGUGUAUUUUACUUUACGGAGAUGUACUCCAUUUCUAAGCCAUAACAGAACAAACAACCUUGCAGAAGCAGACAGAGGUCUGUCUGAAAAUAAUGGAGAAAUGUUGGAUCUGGUGGCGGUAGAUGAACAAUCUUUUCCAAUCUUCACUCCAAGACCAUCUGACCAUGUGCAUCUACCUCGUACAUAUCCUAAUGUAAACAACUACCUCACUCAAGGUCAGGGGCAUGGGACUUCAAUCAGCACAUACAGUACAGCCACAAGAGUAGCUGUGUACUAAACAAUCUUUGUCAGAAUUAUGAGGUGCAAUAUACAGCCACUGGCCAGUUUAUUAGGUACACCCCCCCGUUCCUGAAAAUGGAUCGCUCCUACAGACAGUUAGCAUUAACUUUGAAGCUGUCCAGAUAAGAAAUAACUAAAGCAAAUCUGCUAUGUCUGGUUGCAUGUCUCGGUAGAUGUGGAGCCCUCAGGACUGAUCGAGCGUUGGUAUGAAGAACCGAACAUAGUGGACGAGGACAAACAGGAUUGGAAAGGAGAAUAGACAUUCAUGGAAGACUGAGCUAAAGUGGCGUGAUGUUGCCUGAGCAUCAGCAUAACUGAACAACACAGACAGCAAAAUUAUGUUAAUCAACAAAGAAAGAGGGUCAGGAAGUGGUGGUUGUCACACAACAGCGUUCUAAGUGCUGAUGUCACGCAAGACAUCAUGUUAAACGUUUGACCAUAACAUACACAUACUAUAGCCUUCCUAUUUUCUUUGCUUCCUGCUCCUGUGUUGUUUAAAUGUAUUGUACAGUUUGUAACGUUCCUGUAAAUAAUAAUAAAACAACUAUUUUAAGUUAAGUUAAUA